CUUAGAGAAAAUUUGUUAAAAAACAAACCAGGUACCCGAAGAGUUUAUCCAAAGAACAAUACAACAAAAGAGUUAAUCAAAAGACAAUAUUUAAAAGAACAAUUUAGAGAACUAAUUACUAUUUGAUUUCAAGUCUUAUUAUGUUAUAUGAACUAAGACAGUGUGUUGUUGGCAUCAAGAUAGACACAUCAGUCUAGAAAAUAGAAUAGACCCACACAUAUACAGACAACCAAUUUUCAACAAGGAUAUAAAGGCAAUUCAGUAGAGAAAAUAAAAGUCUUUUCAAUAAAUGGCAUCAGAACAAUUGAAUAUCCAUAUAAAAAAAAAAAAGAAUUUCAUUCCAUGCCUUGCACUAUUUAUAAAAUUUAACUCAAGGGACGCCUGGGUGGCUCAGUGGUUGAGCGUCUGCCUUCGCCUCAGGACCUGAUCCUAGAGUCCCAGGAUCGAGUCCCACAUCAGGCUCCCUGCAUGGAGCCUGGUUCUCCCUCUGCCUAUGUCUCUGCCUCUCUCUCUCUCUCUCUCUGUGUGUCUCUCGUGAGUAAAUUAAAAAAAUCUUUAAAAAAAUAAAACUUAACUCAAAAUGGAUUAUAGACCUCAAUGUAAAACACGAAAUUACAAAAAUUCCAAGAGAAAUAGGGAGAAAAAUCUUUGUGCUGUUGGAUUAGGCAAAAUGUCUUAGAUAAAACCAAAACAAGAUCCAUGAUUUGACUUCAUCAAAAUUUAAAAAUUCUCCUCUUCAAAAGAUAUGGUUAAGAGACUGAAAAGACAUAGUUUGGGAGAAAAUAUCAAAUAUAUGAUCGUAUCAAAUAUAUCAAAUAUAUGAUCAUAUCAAAUCUAGAUACAGGACUUGUAUCCAUAAUAUGUGAAAAAUCAAACUAUAGUAAUUCAUAAUAAGAAAGCAAACACUUCAGUUUUUAAAUGAACAAGAUAUUUGAACAGAUGCUUUACCUAAGAAGAUAUAAGAAUGUUAAAUACACAUGUAAAAAGAUGCUUAACACCAUUAGUCAUGAGGGAAACAAAUAUUAGGGAAACAAAUAUUAAAAUGAUGAUGGAACACACCACAUUGCUAUUAGAAUGGCUGAAAAUUAAAGACUUGAUUAUACUACAUUGGUAAGGAUAUAAAGGAACUAGAAUUCUCAUAUAUUGCUGCUGGAAUUGUGAGAUGGCCCAACCACUUUGACCGCUCCUUAAAAAGUUAAACCCUUAAAGAGAUACCUACCAUAUGCCUAGAAAUUUCAUUCCUAGGUAUUUACUUGAAAGAAUUAAAAGCUUAUGUCCAUGUAAAGUCCUGUACAUGAAAUGUUCAUAGCAGCUUUAUAUAGCAGCCCCAAAUUGCAAACAAUCUAAUUGCCCAUCAACAGGUGAUGACUAAAUUGUGAUAUACCAUACAAUGAAAUACUACUAGGUAGUAAAAAUAAAUGAACUGUUGAUAUACAUAACAACAUGAAUAAAUGUCAAAUUAUGCUGAGUGAAAGAAGCCAAACAAAAAAGAAUACCUGUUGUGUGAUUCCAUCUGCAUAAAAUUCUAAAAUGCGCAAGGCUAAAAUAUAAUGACAGACAGCAGAUCAGUUGGGAGGGAUUACCAAGAGACACAGAAAACCUCUUAAAGGUGAUUGAAACGUCUCUUAUCUUGAUUGUGGCGAUGGUUUCACUAGCGUAUAUAAGCGUUAAAACUUAUCAAAAUUAUACACCUUAAAUAUGUACAGUUUAUUAUGUGACAAUUAUUCCUUUAUAAAUGUGCAUUUUAAAACUUGCAAAACUAUUACAACAUUAAAUGAGUGAAAUUGCAAUCUACAAAGCAGGAAAGAAAUUUGCACCAGAUAGAACUGGCAAAGGUCUCAGGUCCCGAAUGUAUAAACAACACCUACAAAUGAAUAAGAAAAACACAGAAAAGCUCAACUAAAAUGGGCAAAAUAUUUUUUUUUGAGGGGGGGCCAAAAUAUUUGAACAGACAUAUUACAAAAGAGGCUAUCCAAAUGGCCAACCAAAAGCAGCUAACCUCAUCAGUCAUCUGGAAAUGCAAAUUAAAACCACGUUGAGAUAUUAUACCCCAGAAAUAGAAAAAAGACCAAUUAAACAGUGUUGAUGAAGAUGUAAAACAACUAGAACUUUCACGCACUGCUAGUGGGAGUGUAAAUUAGUACAGUCACUUUAGAAAUCUAUUUGGCGUUAUCUCCUAAAAUUUAUCAUAGGCUACUUCAUAACCUGGAAAUUCUACUCCUAGGUUUAUGCACAAGAGAAUGCAUACAUAUGAACUCUGGAACAAAUGUAGAAGAAUGCUCUUCUCUCUAUUAUUUUUAUUGGCUCCAAACUGGAAAUUAACAAGUGAUUGUCAAGUAGAGAGUAGAUAAAUUGUGUUGUAUUCAUACAAUAGAAUCCAUACUGCAAAAAAAAAAAAAAAAAAAAA
rnacentral:lncRNA from 1 species